AUUUCAGUAAUUUAAUGGCGUUACCGGGGAAAUAAUACGGUGACCAUAUUUAUCUGCUGGUAGAAUCAGUACUCCCACGCUGCAGAUGUGGAUCGAACCCGCGACCCCUAGAUUGACAGUCCAGCGCCCUACCAACUGAACUAGACACAGCGAUCCUGCUACCAUAUCACUUUUAUGGCAAUGUAUUUAUAUUUUUAUCUCAUCGAGAUAUACAUUGUAAUACUAUGUUCAUGUAUAUAUUGGCUGUACAUACCUUCGACAUGUGAAAUAUAUUCCGUACGGUCCGAAAUGGAAACAUUUAUUGCAAGAUAACUGUCUCUGAGAAAAAACAACACUUUAUUGAAUAUUACUAGCAUUCGACAGCUGCACAGAGAGUUGCGCUCCCUGGGUCUUAGGCGCCAUUCAACAACAGAGCGACGUCAGCGGGCGUUUCAGGCUGUUGAAGCACACGGUGUCAUCCAUAUUACAAACGCUCGACCCAGAAGCGGUAGCUAGAAGACGAAACCGAGUUGUAGACCGAAGGACUUACAUUAAUAAAGGGCCAAAUUUUCUAGUUCACAUAGAUGGCUACGAUAUGCUCAAACGAUAUGGGUUUCCAAUUCAUGGAGCAAUUGAUGGGUACUCACGUCGCAUUCUAUGGUUACAUGUAGCAGUUUCGAACAACAACCCAAGCAUUGUAGCAACAUUCUUCCUGAAAUACCUUUGUGAUAUUAAUGCAGUUCCAAGGUGUGUACGUAUGGACGGCGGCACUGAAAAUAUUUUGGUUGAAGACAUCCAGAAGGCAUUCAGGUGGAAGCAUACGGAUGAUAUGGCAGCAGAAAAAAGUGUAAUUAUAGGGUCAUCGCAUUCUAAUCAGGUAUUUGUAACCACGUUAUGUGCUUAUUGGUCAUUCUUCUGUACAAUGUCUUAAAUUUUAAAUCCCGAUGGGUUAUAUAAAGGAUCUUUGUCCGUCUCUCAUUGCGUCGUUCCUUCCGUCCGUCCAGAUUU
rnacentral:lncRNA from 1 species